GUGCCAGCCGCUGCGGUAAUACGGAGGGUGCAAGCGUUUAAUCGGAAUUACUGGGCGUAAAGCGCACGCAGGCGGUCUGUCAAGUCGGAUGUGAAAUCCCCGGGCUCAACCUGGGAACUGCAUUCGAAACUGGCAGGCUAGAGUCUUGUAGAGGGGGUAGAAUUCCAGGUGUAGCGGUGAAAUGCGUAGAGAUCUGGAGGAA
rnacentral:rRNA from 1 species